UGCUCCGCAUGAUCCCCGCGUAUCAGGAGCGAUUUCUCGAGCCCUAAAUGUCCGAUUUCUUUCGGGAUUCUAACCUCAACUUUAGUGCUUGAUAUCUCGAUUCUCGGGGCAGAUCGACAGUUUUUUCAGUUUUUUCUACCAGAUUCGUUCGUUUCAUGUGAAAACGCGUUGAAUUAGUCUAAUUUCGCCACAAUCGGAGAUGCUGGGAUAUUUUGAAUAGUUACCAUUAGCCAUUACCUUUUCAACUUUCAUUUUUUAAGUUUUAAGAAAUAAUCUAAAAAUUAAGGCCGUCAAAGCGUUAAAGCAAACGAUCGACUUGGUCGAUCAAAUUUGUUGUCAAUCUGCUAGCAGUUUGCUUGAAAGAUGCAUAUGUAGAAUUUAUUUUUAUAUUUUUUAUUGAUCCUGCAGAAAAUUACAAAAUUGAACAUUAUUCAAGUUAAAUGAUAUUCUUUCUAAAUUAUAUUUAGAAGUUGAUUUAGUUAAUUCUUAGUUAAAAAAUUGGAAUGGUUAAUAUAAAUGAACUACAUCUUUUUUCGUGCAACUAAGUAAUUGUUGAAUCAACUCAAUGUUUAGUUGUGCGUAUCUGACUAAAUAUUUUAGUUUUACAACCAAUUUUUUUCUCAUUGCAGAUAAUAUUUAUAUGACUAACACUUAUUAUCGGCUAUCUCGGUUGUGGAAUGGUUCCAAUGGCAUACUCACGAGUAAACAUGCCGAACAGAAAAUGAUAUCCAUUUUGAGGAACAGGUUCCCACAAGCUCAACUGAUUAAAGUUGUAUUGCCCUUGUAUCAGGAGGAUGCGAUGCCAUGCUUGACAUAAAUGUUGUUGCCCCAAAAUUCAAGGGACUGAAUACCAUGAAGCAACAUCGAAUUAUUAAUGAGGACCUUAAGGAAGAUAUCAAAGACAUUCAUGGCCUCUGAAUACGUACGAGUAUCCCGUAGGCGUAAAUUUUAUAUUUUGGACGAUUGUUAAAUUAUUUUUAUAGAGGAAAUAUGUUAAUAUACUGAUUUUAUUGAAUCUAACGAUGGACAUCCGAUUUCCUCUUUCAAAAGUUUUGGUCAGGAUUUUCGAAACAGUUUUGAAUAAUUUAGAAUUUCUAGAUUUUCUUCCCAUAUUCAAAAUAAUUUGUUGUAAAACGAGUUUAUUAUUGGAACUCUAUAUUUAAGAUUUGGAGAUCAUGCGCAUGUUAUAUAUAUAUUUUAUAAGUUGUAAAUUUAAACAAUGAUAUAUGUGACAUGGUUUAAGGAAUAUAUUUCUUACACCAUGAUAUGUGGUAAAAAUAGAUUUAUAAAAAAUAUAAGUGAAAUAAGAGUAAUAUUGGAAUAAUUAAGGAAAUGUGAUUUUUCUUUUCAUAUUCACAGUCUUUAGUUGAAUGAAUAGUGAUAAACUAUUCAGAAAAUAAUUUAAAACUUAAAUUUUUAAUAAAAAAGCAAAAUACAAGCUAAUACAAUUUUUUAAUUUUUGUGAUACUUUACUGUAACAAUUGCUUCAUAUUUUUGGUUUCUCUAAUAUAAUACGGUCUCGGAAUUUUAAACGAUUAAAAUACACAUAUAUGUAUUCUUACUUGAUUUAUUUGAAU